UAUAAAUCACCACCUUGGACCCCCUGUUUGAAUCACUUUUGCAACUAUUUUCCACCCAUCUGGAAGUGCUGCCUGAUCAUCAACCAGCAAGAUGACCAAACUUUGCGUCGCUUUGCUCUCAGCUCUGGUGCUGGCUUUGUGCCUCUCACUUCAGGUGGUCCAGGCCGCUGAGGGCAACAACGCCACCACCGCCACCCCCUCCAAAAACAGCGGUGAACGGGCCAUGGCGGUUCCACUGCUCCUUCUCCCGUUGACCUUUCCUAUUAUCUUCUUUCAUGACUGGUUUCUGUAAAGGAUUACUCCAACUGUCCUGUCGGUCCAGCUGGACAGGGGGAUGCAGAUGUCAUCUUCUUCAAUUUGAGGGUUCCCCAAAGAAAACUGUCUUAAUCACCGAACCAGGACGUGCCCUGUUACCAUCUGCAUGUUUUCCCGAUCCCUGCUGGGUGUUUCAUGGACUCUAUUAUUCGGGUAGUACAAGGUGCCUGUGUAGUAACUAGCCUUGUUUUAGGGGGUGGGUGAAAAUGUUAGUGUUUUUAUUUUUUCAAGAAACUUCUUCUGAAUUACUUCACUGCAAAGAUUUAUCUAUUUAAAUAAUCAUGACAAUUGGUACAUAAAUAAAGUUUUAAAAUGACAUUUUCCUUUCUUUUUUUUCCCAUUUUAAAUAUUGUUGUCUUUAUUGGUCUCUCAGUUGGAACCCUUGUUUUAGCUCUCAGUGCUUGUAUGUGAACUUCGAAUUUAAUAAAGCACUGGUUGGGAUGUUUCACUGGUUUCUGUCAGUGCAGAAACAUUACUAUUAUACAUUGAAGGGUGAUAUUUGGCAAUAAAUUGCAGAUGUAACUCCCAAAA